GCGAGUUCUAAACUCCCAACCCUCGUGAACCUACCUAUUGUUGCUUCGGCGGGGCACCCUAGUACCUAGGGUGCUGCCCCCCCGGGGGCGCCCGCCGGUGGCACGCAACCAAAACUCUGUUCUACAGCGUAUUCUGAGUAAAUUACAAAUAAGUCA
rnacentral:misc_RNA from 1 species